AUUUUCCCUCAAGGCCCUUUCAGCACCAAUGCUGUAGAGAAGCUGGUGAAUCCUAUGCAUCGAAGCAGGCCGGGCCUCCAGGGAUUUGUAGCCCAAGAGUACAAAUUGAGAAAAGAAGACAAAAGUAGGACAGUUUGACAGCUGAGGGGUAAGAGCACCCUGCCCUGACCACCUGGCCCAUACAGGAACCCAGCAACCCAGCACAACUUUUUUUUUUCUUCCAGGAAAUCUUUAUUGAAAGAAAGCUAGCUUCUAAGAGAGAUAAGGGGGCCAGGAAAGUGGGCUGCCCCUCAGCACUGCUCUUUAUGGUCACAUGAAAACAAUCCAAAAGCAGGCCGCUUUCCAGGGUCCAGGAACAUCACUGCAUGCAUGAAGAGCAAGCCAUUAAGGUGGGAGAAGGGGAUGGAUUUGCUCUGAAAGCUUAGGACACAUCCUGGGAGCUGAUGUGGGCUCUGAAGAGGGAAGAAGUUCUGCACCUUCAAGGAGUAGCUGGCUCUUCUGGGGGCUCAAAGGAAUUCCAGGCCUGUGGACACCCAGCUGGCCCUGCAGCCCUAGGCAUUGUGAUUGGAUGAAGCUGUGUGGGGCGGGCCGACCAGGAACGAAGGACGUUGGCGAGCGCUCCAUCUCUACCCCUCCCUUCCCUCGCCU
rnacentral:lncRNA from 1 species